UCCGGUUUGUCACCGGCGGUCUCCUUAGAGUUCCCAACUUAAUGAUGGCAACUAAAGACGAGGGUUGCGCUCGUUGCGGGACUUAACCCAACAUCUCACGACACGAGCUGACGACAACCAUGCACCGCCUGUACACCGGCCACAAGGGGGCCAAUAUCUCUACUGGUUUCCAGUGCAUGUCAAGCCCAGGUAAGGUUCUUCGCGUUGCAUCGAAUUAAUCCACAUGCUCCGCCGCUUGUGCGGGCCCCCGUCAAUUCCUUUGAGUUUUAGCCUUGCGGCCGUACUCCCCAGGCGGGGUGCUUAAUGCGUUAGCUGCGGCACGGAGGACGUGGAAGUCCCCCACACCUAGCACCCACCGUUUACGGCGUGGACUAC
rnacentral:misc_RNA from 1 species